UUUGUGAUUAAGACAGUUUAAUACUGAGAGCACAUCUUAGUGAGGACUAAGCACAAUCCAGAUGCUCGCUAGCCACACAGGUGGUCAGUGGCUACUGCACUGGACAGCAUAGAGAAAUAUUAAGGAAACUCAUGAGGCAUAAGUGAGCCCCAGGUAGACCUGACAAAGAAUUAGAGAUUCAGACUCCAAAAGCACUUUGGGUCAAGCUGUGUAAGUAAUCUUGACAGCUCUCAUAGGAGCAAAGGCCCUCUUGGUAUCAUCUGCCUUAAAGUGGAUAUGUGCUGAAAGUGGGAGCUAGUGAGCCCUAGUGGAAAAAGUGGUCAUUUCAGAUAGAUAGGUCUUUUAAUAACUAUGUGACUACAAACAGGUUGCUUAUCUUCCUGAACCCAUUUUCCAAAUCUGAAAAAGAUGGGCUGAAUGUAUUUGUGAUCCCUAGCACAAAAUAUCAAUAAAUUAUAAUUCUCAUUAAAAUUUUACUUUGUGAUACCAGAUACAAUAUUUAUUUUCCAUAACAAAAGAUCUGACAAGUGAGGUCCCUAGAAGAUUUCAGUCAUCUCACAAAUGUUACUAGAGGACUUCAAUGUGCCCAACCCUGCUCCAAGCACUUAGGACAAAUCAGUGAACAAAAUAGAUGAAGAACAUGAACUGUGCUCAAGCAAUGGACCGAAGGAACUAUUGGGAGCAUCCCAUGACACUCUCUUCAGGUAAAAAUUUCCAGCAUUUUCAAUAUGACUGCCAUGACAGGGGGGGAAAAGGGUGAAGGGAACAGGGGAAAGAUUCUCCUGGACUUGCUGUGGGUAUCUGGGGGAAGUGGAUACUAAAAUAAGCCCCAGUGUAAUGCGUUCCCCAGAGUUCUAAAAGUACAGUGAAGUGCUGAGGGUACCACAAGCACAUGUCACACAUGGAGAUUCUCUUUGCACUAUCUUAUUAGGAGAUAAAUCAUUUAAAAUACUAUUUUAGCAUAAAGACCAAUACAGAAAUAUUUUGAGGAAAAACGCAAAAUUCACACGAAGUUUCUGAAUAAAACACAGACCCCCAAAGAAAUUUCUUAGUUGUGGUGAGUGUAUUGGGCCAAAAGCCAGGAUAUUGUGUAACAUGCUAUAAUUUUGUAAGCAUAUCUUAGUGGGAAUUGCAGGGAGUGGACACAUUAGAGUGUUUAUGUUUUGCUUUUUCUCCAAUAUGUAGAAGUUACUUUGAAUUCUCAUGUUACCAUGCAGAUAGUUUCUUAACCCCACUAUGGGCUGUGUAGAUACCAGAUUUGGAAAAAGGUUGUUCUAUGGCUGGUUUACUUCAAUUUCAUGGCAUGGGUUCAGAAUGAGACUCUGCAAGUACUCUAGUCUCUACCUGCACUUAUAAAUCAAGGCUGGGGACUUCUAUUUACUGGAUUCUAUGUCAGCUGUGUUCACUGCUUCUCUUUCACAAACAAGAAAUUACAUAAAAGGCUUCUAAAAGAAAUAGGAAUCAUGGUAAUGUUUAAAAAAGACAAAGCUGAGAAAAAGAUAAUCUAGGGGCUAUUUACAUCUAAAGUGCCUGGCAAUGCCCACAGUUGUAGCUACUGUAGAGCCACUCUGCUCCAAACAAGUCAGUGACUGGAUAACUUGGGUGUCAGGGCAACUUUUUGGAAGCAUGAGACUAUUCUUUAAUCAACGCUGGGGAGAAGCUCUCUUCUGUGUUUGUGUUGCAUUUGAAAUCUUGGCCAGUAAAUGUUGAAUUCAAUUUAACAAACUAUUUUUUUAGUGUUUGUUCAAUUAGAGGUUGAGUCAGCCUUGGAGAUGGCUGGCUUACCUGCCAAGUAGAACAGCUGAGAGAUGGUGAUUCACAUUUGUACGAUGGUUUAUGAAUGGCAAAGGUCUCAUUCACAUGUUAUUAUAUUUGGUUCCCAUAACAACACUACAUGGCAGAGAUUGAUAACACGUUCCCCAAUUUCAAACCCUUUGUUUCCCCCUAAUAACAUAAAUUGCCAUAUUUAGAUAGUUUUGCAAAAUAACACUGCCUCUAAGCCUCAUAAUUAUGACCAUGUUGCUCAGUUCUGAAAAAUGUGUGUGAAAAUAAUGUGUGCGGCUUUUGAAAUUUCCUUAUGAUUUUUUCUUUGAUCUAUUGGUUAUUUAGGAGUGUGUUGUUUAAUUUUCAUAUAUUAGAAACUUCCAAAAUUUCUUUCUGUUAUUGAUUUAUUUUAUUUUUUUGUGGUCAGAGAAUAUACUUUGUUUGGUAUCCAUUCUUUUAAAUUUAUUGAGACCUCUUUCAUGGCCUAAUGCAUAAUCUAUCCUGGAUAAAGUUCUGAGUGCACUUGAGAAAAAUGCAUAUUCUGUUGUUAUUGAGAGGAAUGUUCUAUAAUGGGGUCCCUAUUUGGCCACACAGCAGGAGUUGAGUGUCAGGUGAGAAAGUGAAGCUUUAUCUUCAUCUGUAUUUACAGACUCUCACCAUCAUUCACAUUACCAACUGAGCUCCACCUCCCGUCAGAUCAUCAGGGCAUCAGAUUCGCAUAGGAGCUCAAAACCUACUGUGAAUUGCUCAUGCAAGUGAUCUAGGAUUUGUGCUUCUUAUGAGAAUCUAAUCCUGAAACCAUCUUUCCCUCCCCACCUGACAUAAAAUAUUUGUCUUCCACAAAAUUGGUCCUUGGUGCCAAAAUUUUGGGGGACUUCUGUUCUAUAAGAUGUCUUUUGGGUCUUAUUGGUUUAUACAUUUGUUCAAGUCUUCUAUUUUUUCAUUGAUAUUCUACCUAGUUGUUCGAUAUUGAAACGAGAUACCCAAAUUUCUAUUGUGUUUUGUCAUUAUUCUACCCUUUAAUUCUGUCAGUUUUGCUUUGUGUAUUUUGAGGCUUUGUUGUGAGGUGCACAUAUAUUGUUAUCUUUGCUCAUUAUAGUGUCCUUGUAAUAUCCUAAGAAAGAUACAUGGUCUUUAUCUCUCUACUUCCUGGCACAGAGCUCCCAAGACCAUUGGAAUUUCCCUUAGUGAUUUGGGUGACAAGAGUAUAAUUUGUUCUAAUGAGUUGAUUCUUCUUGUCGAGCCACUAGAUAGCUUCAGGAGGGACUGGUCACCAAGUAGUCUUUUUUCUUUUGGUACCAGGGUUCAAACUUGGGAUCUUGCACUUGCAGGGCAGGUGGCGGCACCACUGAGCCAAAUCCCCAGCCUCAGGUAGUCUUAAUUAUGAGGUUGGAACAUUCAGUCCAAUAUCCCAACUACCUGGAAGGGGAGAAGGGGUGUAGAUUGAGUUGAUCAUCAAUGGCCAAUGAUUUAUUCUGUCAUGUCUAUGGAAUAAAAUUGCCACAAAACCCCCUAUAUGAUGGGAUUCAGAGAGCCUCCAAAUUAGUACACACAUCAAGGUGCUAGUAGAGAAGCAUGUUUAGAGAGGGCGUGGGAGCUCUGUGCCACCCCCUCCCUAUACCUUGCCCUACUAAUUUCUUAUAUUUGGCUAUUUUUGAGUUGGAUCUUCCAUAAUAAUCUGGAAAUAAGCAAUGUGCUUUAACUUUAUUGAAUUCUGUGAGUUAUUCUAGAAAAUUAUUGAAGCUGAGGUGGGAAGUCAUGAGAACCCCUAAAUUUGCAGCCUAUUCAUAAAGAAAGAAUGAAGGACACUCUAUGGUAUGCUUUUAGAGCAGGCAGAUCAACUCUCUCAGCUACAUUGAAGUAUGGGAGGAUCUCCUCUCAAGAGAAAGAAUUGCUCAUAACAGACUGGAACACAUCCCUGUGGAUAGCACCUUGCAAGAGGAAUGGAAAAGCAGAGAGAUGGGCAAAUGAGCAUUGAUUUUUCCAUGGACAAGUGUAUUUGAGUGAAUGAAAGGGAAGAAAAACAUUGUGCCUCUCACAUCUUCUACACAUGGAAAAGAAACAUUGAAUAUGAAAAGUGUGUCUUUCUACCAUGUACUCCUUGGAUAGAAGAUAUUUAUCCAAACUAACAAAACUAAUUAAAGCAGAGCUGCAGUCAAUUUUAGUAUAUGUGCUGCUGAAAUGAGCACGAGAGCCAGAGUCCAAUAGAGGAUUUAGUAAUGCUUCCCAUUAUACAAUUCUAUUCUUGCCAAUAAAUGGAUAAUUUUGAAAAUAUGUUGUCUUCAUUAGAAAUGACAGGCAGUAGGAAGACCAGAACAGAUGUAGUUCUUAAACUUUCACAACAGUUUUAUGAAAUAGAUAUUGUCAUCAACGUUUUGCAGGUAAUGAAAUACAAGCUUAAAGAGGUUAAGUAGCUUGCUGAGGAUCACAGAAAUGGGAUGUGGUAAAUUUACAGUGUGAGCCCAGAUUCACCUAACAUUAAAGUCUGUGCUGUUUCUAUGGCAUUCCAAUGGAGUUAACAAUAAACCAGUUGAGCAGUGUAAGUGUUGCUAAUACUUCAUUGGAAGGAGAAGUCUUCAGUACAAGACACAGACAUGGUUUCACUGAGGAUUUAAUAGGCAUAAAAUCAGAAGUAAGAGAAUUUUGAAGACAUGCUAUGCAUUCAGAAAUACUGUGGAGUUAGAAAUCUAUAUACCACCUCUGGGGAGAUAUUAAGUAAAUAAAUUAUUCUGAAGCUGCAGCUUGCCUAUUAUGUCUCAUCAAAGUAGAAACAUUAUAGAUUUACCAUGUCAAGGGCUGGACCUUGAUCCUCUGGAAUCCAGGCUUGGGCAAGAAUGUGGAUCAGGAUGUGAGAUGUCCCAGGUGUUAGGGACAACUCGAGAGCAAAUCAGGGAAGAAGGGACUAAAGGCACAGCCAAGUAGGUAGUUGCAGAAAGAUGUGCAACAUGUGCCAAAGGAAAAGUCUCAAACUGUGAGACAGGAGCAAGAAGAUCCAAUGCUAUUAGUAGAGGGAUGGAAAGAUAGGUAUCUACAAAAGUGCAUGGAGUUGUCGUUAUGUAAAUGAGAGUCACUGAAGGUGUGAUGGGGAUGAAAGUAGCUUCAGCAUCUCCCUCCUGGUCUAGCUGCUUUAACCAGUAUUCUUUUUUAUGUGUGGUCUACACUCAGCCUUAAACAUUCAACCUUAAAAGGCUACUUCAUGCUGAAUUAAAGGACUAAUGACAGUACA